rnacentral:rRNA from 1 species
AGCGAACGCUGGCGGCAGGCCUAACACAUGCAAGUCGAACGAACUCUUCGGAGUUAGUGGCGGACGGGUGAGUAACACGUGGGAACGUGCCUUUAGGUUCGGAAUAACUCAGGGAAACUUGUGCUAAUACCGAAUGUGCCCUUCGGGGGAAAGAUUUAUCGCCUUUAGAGCGGCCCGCGUCUGAUUAGCUAGUUGGUGAGGUAACGGCUCACCAAGGCGACGAUCAGUAGCUGGUCUGAGAGGGUGGCCAGCCACACUGGGACGGAGACGCGGCCCAGACACCUACGGGAGGCAGCAGUGGGGAAUCUUGCGCAAUGGGCGAAAGCCUGACGCAGCCAUGCCGCGUGAAUGAUGAAGGUCUUAGGAUUGUAAAAUUCUUUCACCGGGGACGAUAAUGACGGUACCCGGAGAAGAAGCCCCGGCUAACUUCGUGCCAGCAGCCGCCGCCG